rnacentral:lncRNA from 1 species
CUUCUUCGUUGAUGAUCUUGUUGUACAUACAAGUUUCAUAUUCAUAUACUUGGUGGUAGCUGAUGACUUUCAUCUUCUUGCCAUAUUGAUGAAAAGCUGCUAUAUUAACAGAUCAUGUUGAUCAUUGCAGCUCACUUGUUGUAAUCAUCAAUUCCUUCUUUCUCCAAUCUAUCUCUCUUUCAUCACCUAUGUUGCGCAGAUUCUUCAUUUCUCUUGACAUACAUGUGCCUAACGGAUGUGACUAGAGUGUGGGUACUUCAUGUGGUUUUUCUCAAAAUAUACCAAAAUUUAGCAAAAAAUAUUUUCAUGCAACUGAACUGGAUACAUACAUGUGAACGAGUCUGGGCAACCAUAGUUUAUGAUAAUGCAUCACAUACUCAACAUGUAUGGCUAGGCAAAAACUUUCUUCAAGAAAAGCUUUAGGUCUAUUCUUUUCGUUUAUCUCCCAGGUGCUGGGAUGUAUUAGUCUAAAAAUUAUAAUCUCGGAAUAGCUUAGUCCACAAAUUAAAUGACUCCUUAAAGAUCAGUGGAAAAUCCUUCAUACAAACUCUUGGAGCAAAAAAUUUGUCGAAAAAUUCAUACGUAGCUAUGGUGUAAACUGUAAACCUUUUGGGGUGCGUGACUACAUAAAUGAAACCAUGGUUUCUUUUGGUGUAGUAAAGUGAAAUAUAUUGCAAACUAAAAAGACUAGAAAGAGGGAUUGGUCAUAAUUUUUUUAUGUAUAUUAUCUUGAAAAUAGGAUAAGUUUUACCUUUUUAAUUUUAUUUAAUAUAAAUAUUAGAUUGAGUAAGCUUAAACAGAAUGAUAUAAGAUAGUAAAGACAUAUGCACUAUUUAUAUUGUAGUUGAUAUUAAUUCACUUGGGAUUGAAGCGACAUUACUAUUACAGACUGGAUAGUGGAUACAAGAAAAUUUUUCUAAGAUAUAUUUUAGGGUAGAAAAAACAUAAAUAUAAUAUUUAAAGAACUUAAUAAUACCUAUAUAACAAUAGUUUAUCCUUUUUCAUACAUAGUAACAAAAUCCUUACAAAACACAAUAAAUUAGGUUUAAUCACAGUAAUAAAAUGAAAAUCAAUAGGUACAUGUAAUCAAAAUUCUUGAUAUUCCUUCCUUCAUUUUCUCCUAAUUAGUUUUUUUCAACUUCCACAAUUCUCUCAAUCUUUUCCACAAUCUCCUUCUCUUUCAUCACAUAGCAAUAUUUUGUUGGUGGAGAUGAGUUUUAAAAAGAUAAUCAACUAACGUUAACACAAUUUUGCAUACAUAUAACUUGGUAUGUUGAUGUCACGUCCGAGCCUACACCCUGGACAUGACCGGCACUCGAGCCUACUACUGUCUAUCUAUCAAAGCCUCUAAUACUAUGAGGGGUGUCAGGACAAGACCCCCGAUCAUCCUAACAAAACUGAGAUAAACAAGAUAAAUAAGGGAUCCUCCGAAAGCAAAGAGGCUCACCAAACAACUCUGGAACUCGACUGGAUCAACGAAGCGCUGGUUGAUGAUCCUGGUUACCUGUAUUUGCAUCAUGAAACGAUGCAGGCCAAAUGACGUCAGUACAUAGAAUGUACAAGCAUGCCAGGGAAAAUCUAAAACAUGACAUAAUCUUGAACUGAAACUGAAGAAACAACUUACCUCGUCUCAACUCAACUCAACCUUAACUCAUUUCAAUAUAAAAGCAAUAACAGUAAUGCAAUAUAAAGAAAAUCUUUUAAAAUAGUAGAUAACAACUCAAUAUAUUGGAAAAUACAAUAUAACUCAGUUUGUAUGUAAAAAUACAAAAUAAACUCUGUUUGGGAGAUUCUCUAACCGACAACCAUCACUAUGAGAUAUGUGAUGAUACAGUGUCGCGCCCACGCUGCUAGAACUGUCAUAUACCUUGCCUGGGUAUAGAACUCCUCAACUAAGUAGAUCCACUAGUCUAUGCUAAAAAGCAAUAAGGAAUUAUCUAAAAAGUAUGACCCUUUCUACCCACGUUGGCUACAUGGUUUAUGGGGGCUGUGAGUUGUUAGAACUCUCCCCCGUAUCGGUGCUCAAUACUAUCCCAAAAUAUAACUUAGCUCAUAUGUUUUAAAGAAAACAUUUCCUCUUCCUCAACUUUGAGAUUAUUACUCAAAAUAUUUCUCUUAGAAGAGAUAGUACUCAAAACUGCUCAUGAACUCUUUUGGAAAUCGAUGUUUCCUCUCAUCUUAAAUGUAAAAACAUUUACUAUUGGGAAUAUUUUAGUUCCCAUAUAUCCUUUUAAAGAAAAUGAACUCAACUAUACUCUUCCUCAAAACUCAAAUGCUCAAGUCUUAAAACAAGUUUAAAAGUGUUUGCAAAAGACUUCUCAAAAGACUCGAAGGAACUCUGAAGACUUGACUCUUAACUCUCAAGGUUAUGAUUCAUGUUAUGAAUGAUUUCUAGAUGUUUGGAAGUAGUUUAGAGUAGUUAGAAUCAAUAGGGACUGAAGAAAUACUUUAAAGGAACUCACACGGGUUAAACAACUGAAGACAGGAUGGGGCAGACGACCUUUGCACACUUAGUGGCGCCAACCCCUAAAAUAUUGAAGGGUGGUUGGGGCGCACUGGCUGGCGCAGGGAGCCCAGGCCCCAAAAUACAGACCACCUUUGCUCGCGCAUUGGUGGGGUGGCGCGCCAGCCUUUGUCCAGAUUUCUCCGACGAAUUUCUUUCUCAUUUUCUGACCCUAGUUCGCCUAGAAUCAAAUGGUUUCUUUCCCACUCACUUAGAUUCGAAUACCCAACAUAAGUACACAACAAUCUACUCAACCAACCCUCAAAUCACUAACUUUCAUCUCAAGAAUUCAUCAAAACCCCAACAAUCAAGAUUACAAAUGGAAUUCCAAGAAAACUUAGCAAGAACUCAAAUCCCUCCACCUCAAGAAUGAAAUUGCAUUCAAAUAGCAUGAUUGGAGUGUGGGUGAACGAACCCAGCACUAUGAGAACUCACAUACCUCUUAGGGAUCAAACCCUUGGCGAAAUUCCGCAACAAAACUUCAAGAACUUGACGAAUGCCUUGAAUCUUCCCUCCUUUCUCCUUUUUUUCUCUUCUUGAACUCUCUUCUAAAACCCUAAGCGUAAAUUAGGAUUGUAAAAAUGAACCAAAUCAUAUUUGACCCCAAAGUAUUACUAAAAAUCAUUUUAAUCUGAUUGGGUAAGGAAAAGACCAAAUACCCUUCAUUAAUUCGGGUAACUUUUCUUAACUGGAUAGGCUAACUUCAAACAUGCAUAUCUUUCUCAUAUGAACUCGAAACUUAGCAAACUCGGUGGCGUUGGAAAUAGGAUUCCCAAGACCUUUCCUUUGAUAUCUCAUGGGUCACCUAAAUCAUCAUGUACUGAAAGUUAUAGUCGUUUGAAGUUGACACAAAACUCACAACUUAGGCAUAACUUGCAAGAAUCCUUAAAUUAGUUAUUUCCAAUUUUUAGAUCUUUCUAAGGAGAGAUGUUACAAUAUCUCCCCCUUGGAAACAUUCUUCCUCGAAUGAGAUUAUUCUAAGCAGAAAUGAGGGUGGAAACAUCUACACCCAACUCAAACAUCCAAUAUGCAAUUUAACACACUCAACAUAUUAAUUUAAAGAGUACCAAGAUAGAAUUAGUACCUUGAUUUGGUUCUUCGGACUCAAAGAGAUGUGGGUAUCUCUUCUUCAUAUCCUUCUCAGCCUCCCAAGUAGAUUCCUCAACAAACUAGUUCCUCCAUAAAACCUUGAUUGAUGCAACCUCCCUGGUUCUCAACUUGCGAACCUGACGAUCAAGUAUCUAAACAGGAAUCUCCUCAUAAGAUAGGUUGUCCUUAAUACCAAUAUUUUUAAUAGGUAUAAUAAGUGAAGGAUCGCUCAUACACUUCUUCAACAUAUAAAUAUGAAAUACCGGAUGGACUGUUACUAAUUCUUGCGGUAGCUCCAACACAUAGGUUACAUUGUCAAUCCUCUUGGAUAUCUUGUAAGGACUAAUAUACCAGGGACUAAUUAAGCUUCCCUUUCUUGCCAAACCUCAUAACACCCUUCAUGGGUGAAACCUUCAAAUAAACCCAAUUAUCCACCUCAAACUCCAAGUCUCUUCUCCUAACAUCUGUAUAUGAUUUCUGACAACUCUGCGCUAUUUUCAACCUUUCUUGAAUAGUCUUCACCUUCUCCAUAGCUUGAUGAACCAAGUCUGGUCCUAUCAACCCAACCUCAAACCAUCCAAUAGGAGAUCUACAUCUUAUCCCAUAAAGACCAUUUGGAUGCUAGAGUGAUAACUAUUGUUGUAAGCAAACUCAAUGAGAGGUAAGUGCUCAUCCCAAUUACCCUUGAAAUCGAUCACACACGCCCUCAACAUAUCCUCUAAAGUUUAAAUUGUACGCUCUACUUGACCAUGAGUCUGAGGAUGAAAAGCAGUACUCAAAUUUACCUUGGAACCCAAACCCUUCUGGAAAGACUUCCAGAAUUGUGUGGUGAAUUGCGCACCUCUAUCUGAAAUGAUGGACACCAAAACACCAUGAAGUCUGACUACCUCUUGAAUAUAUAACUUGACAUAUUUUUAUGCUGAAAAAGUAGCCUUUAUCGGUAAGAAAUGGGCUGAUUUAGUCAUUUGAUCUACAAUCACCCAAAUCGAAUCAUGAUGUCUGCGAGACCGUGGCAACCCAGUAAUGAAAUCCAUAUUGAUCAUCUCCUACUUUCAUUUCAGAAGGUCUAUGUUCUGAGCCAUACCACCGGGCCUCUGGUGCUCUACCUUGUUUUGUUGACAAUUCGGUCAUUUAGCAACGAACUCUGCAAUACUCUUCUUCAUACUAUUCCACCAAUAGACUUCUCUCAAGCCACGAUACAUUUUUGUGGAACCCGGAUGGAUAGAGUAUCUAGAGCUAUGAGCUUCCUCCAUGAUCCUCUCUUGAAGUUCAUCCACCCUUGGCACACACAAUCUACCUUGAUACCUCAAUACCCAUCCCCCCUUGUUCAAAAGUCAUCACUUUCUGCCUAUGAACAGUUAAGUUGCCUUCAAUUCAAGCAAAACAAGGUCUUGGUCUUGUUUCUCUUUCACUUCUGACACUAAUGAUGAUUCAGCCCCAUUCAUCACCACUACUCUACCUUUAUUGGAAUCCAACAAACGGACUCCCAAUCGUGCAAGUUUGUGCACAUCUUUGGCUAAUUUUUUCUUGUCUUCCUCGACAUGGGCGGUACUAUCCAUAGACAACCUGCUCAAGGAAUCAACAACAAUAUUAGCCUUACCUGGGUGAUAUUGAAAACUCGUGAGAUCGGUGAACACAUGUACAUGAACACCAUAAAGAUAGUGACGCCAUAUUUUCAAAGAAAACACUAUUGCAGCCAACUCUAGAUCAUGGGUUGGGUAAUUCCUCACGUGAAUCUUAAGCUUUCUGGAGGCAUAAUCUCUAACUUUGCCAUUUUGCAUCAAUCACAACCCAGUCUGACUCUGGACGCAUCACAAUACACAAAAAAACCUUGCGUACCUUCUGGUAAGGUCAAUAUUGGGGCAGUAGUCAACCUAGUUUCAAUUCCUGAAAGUUUUUCUCACAAGCUUCAGACCAUUGGAACUUUAGUGUCUUUUGAGUCAACUUAGUCAACGGGGAUGAAAUAGAUGAAAACCUCUCGACAAACCUCCUAUAAUAACCAGACAAUCCCAAGAAACUCCUAGUAUAAGUUGGAGAUGUGGGUUUAGGCCAGUUCUGCACUGCCUCAAUCUUCUGAGUGUCAACUCGAAUCCCCUCACCUGAAACAAUGUGGCCUAAGAAUGCCACAGACUCAAGCCAAAACUCACACUUUGAGAAUUUAGCAUACAACUCUCUAUCCUUGAGAGUUUGAAGAACUACUAUGAGAUGACUAACAUGAUCUUCCUCAUUCCUCGAAUAAAUCAAGAUGUCAUCAAUGAAUACAAUAACAAACAUAUCAAGAUAAGGCUUAAACACUCUGUUCAUAAGAUCCAUGAACGUUGCAGGGGCAUUAGUCAACCCAAAAGACAUAACUAUAAACUUGUAAUGACCGUAACGGGUCCUGAAUGUUGUCUUAGGAAUGUCACUUUUUCUUACUCUCAACUGAUGAUAGUCAGAUAUGAGGUCUAUUUGUCACGACCCGAGUCUAGGCCCCGGAUGUGACACAACAUACUUGACCCCGAAGGGAUCUCGUACAAGCCUCUUAGCAUUCAUAACAUUCGAUAUAUAUAAAUAGUGAGGAAUCAAAACUUAUUUAAAUCUAAACUAUCAAAAACUUCAUUUAAAAUCUUUCAAAAGACACAAUAGAAGUCUAAGUCUCACAUGGCCAUCUUAACAAUGUACUCGAAAACUAAAGUAGGGACAUGACCCUUUACAAUCAAAAGAACUAGAAUUGUCUAUUACAUAAAAAGGAAAUAAACUUCGAAAAGACAGUUGUCCUCGAUCUAUGAGGACGUACCACUCUAGCCUUGGAGGAAUAACAAUCCAAGCACUUCAAUCCUAGCUAGAAUCAAUCACUUGCUGGAACCUACACUUGUAGUAAAAUAAGAGAAAUAUGGGUUAGCACACAAAAAUGUACUAAGUAUGAUAACCAUGCAAAAAUAUGCUUUAAAAGGGAUAUUUUGGUUGGAAACCAUGCAUUAUGCCACUUUUUAGAAAUAUCAUGUUCAAUAGCAUAAGAGACAUACAAUACAAGCAUAAUCAUACAAGUGAUAAUACCACAUUUAGACAAUAUCAUCACGUAAACCAUUACCUUCACCUUAAGUAACCCUCAUGCUAUACCUUGUGCAAUGCAUGGAUAGCGUCGCAUACCACCAUCCACACUAAGGCAUCACAUUAAGGUCACCUAAAGUGAACUUACCAUUCAUUCCUUUUCACCUUUACACAAUAUCCAUACAUAAAAGACAUAACAUUUCAUAAGACAUGACAAGAGAAAAUAACUCAUAAUAUAACCCAAGUAUAGCAUGCAUCAUCACAUUAAGCAUUUAAGAGUCAACAUCCUCCAAUAACUUCAUUUAGAGGACUUUCAUACAUUAGUCAUUAGGACUUAGAGAACUCACUAUGACCCUAUCAAAGCCUACUCGUGCAAUGUAUAUAUGACAUCCCAUACUACCACCUACAUUUCAUAGAACCUCUCAAGAAACCAUAAUGCACAUCUCACAUGAUGGGAAUAAGCGUUUAACUGACAUAGACCAUGCAAGCUAGACAUGGAAUCCGGUGUCAUACAGCCCUACACCAUAAAAAAGUGUUCCACUUGCCUAAGGUAGAAUGGUAACAUAAGCUAAGAUGGAAUCCGCUAGCUAAUAUCCUAUGUAGGCACAUAGUUAUGGGAUAAGAAGAUGUUCCUUGGAACUCUAACAUCGAUUCUAGAGUCUUUUUUACCUUAGAUCAUUUAUGAAAAGAAUGCCUUAAGCCUAUCAAUUCAUAUCCAUCAAGUCAAGACACAUUCAUUACUCAUUUAUGAAAGGAAUGCCAUAGCCUAUCGAUUCAUAUUCAUCAAGUCAAGAGACAUUCAUUAUACAAGAAAGGAUGCCUAAGCCUACUACUUCAAGUUAGAACAUUACAUCAUAGAAGCCCUUCACAUUUUAUCAUCAUCAUUCAUGAGUGUCAAAUUGAGAAUUAGCCUUUCAAUAAUAACACAAAUACCUUCAAGACAUGAUCACCUUAACUUCAUUGAAUUCACAUUCAUAUACUUAGUAAGUAAACACCUCCACCUUUCAAGUGGAUCAAUAGUUCAAGCACAAUUCUACUUCAACAUGAAUAUUUAGUCAUAACUUGCCUUCAAGGCCAUAAAUCUCAAAUCAUCAACACACCAACAAUUUACCAUAAUUAAGGCAUAGGUAAUGAUACAAUUCAAUAACCCAAAGCAAUUUAGACAUAUUACCAUCAUAAGCUUUCAUAAUCAACAAACUCAUUUCAUAAAGGCACAAUUUAGGAAUUGAGAGAAAUCACGGGUUCAUGGAGUAUUUUCAUCAUAAAUCAUCAAUUAAACAUCAAUACAAUCAAUAUAUGAUAUUAGAAACCAUUUAAAAUUGUUUGAAGAAAGAACCCAUGAGAUUGAGUAAAACCCUAGGUUUUUCAUGAACUUGAAAACUUUGAAAAACUUCUUUGAAAUUGACUCUAGGGUGAAAGAUAACCCUAGAUGAAGGAUAACCAUACCUUUACUAAGAUUCCCCAAGAAAUUUCAUGAAUAAAUACUUGAAUCCAAACCCUAGCUCUCACUUCUUCUUCUUCCUUGAGUUAGAGAGAGAAAUAUUGAGAGAGGAAGAACUUUGGGGUUUUGAUUAAUGGAGUAGAUGAAGUUUUUUAAGACUUGAAACUAUUUAUAUUUAUGAUAUAAACCAUUUAAAAUAAACCCCACAUAAUAAAACAUUUAAAUAAAAUUACUUAAAAACCCCUAACUUGGGCAGCCCCAUUAGGGACCAAGUUCACUUCUACGGUUCGUGAAGGGGGACCACGUCCCGUGGUGGUGCCCGUGGUCCUCUAGGCAGUGUGCUCAUUUGCCUUGCCAAGCCCCAAGAUGCUAAGGCAUCUUCACGGCCACUUCUACGGGCCGUGGUCAAGACCACUAGCCGUGGAGUGGUCCGUGAAUUUGGGGUAGUAGCUUGGCCACAAGGCCUUGCCUCCCAUGCCACCAAGUGAUAUUCACGACCACUUCUACGGACCGUGGUCAAGACCACUGGCCGUGAAGUGGUCCGUGGACUUGGGGCAGUGCUUGGCCAAGGUUGGGCAGCCUUGGCCUUUGGCUUAGGCCUUGCCCCCUUGGCUUGACACUUGCCCUUGCAACCCUUAACCAAACCUAAAAUGGUCUUUCAACUAUGGAGUCUAACACGUACCUUGACGUUGACCCUCACAAUUAGGCUCUAGUUCAUCCUAUCAUUUUUCAGGUCGUUAUACUAUCUUAGAAAAACAAGUAGCACCCUGAAGUUGAUCGAAUAGAUCAUCAAUUCUUGGAAGAGGAUGCUUAUUCUUGAUAAUAACCUUGUUAAUUAGUCGUAAUCAAUACACAUUCUAAGUGAACCAUCUUUCUUCCUUUCAAAUAAGACUGGAGCAAUAAAUAUGGGAACUGAUAAAUAUUAUUAGAAAGAUGAUAAAGAAGAAGGAGGCAGAGAAUUUGAAAGAUGCCUUCAUCUUUUCAAUUUUUUUCUCUCUCUCACUCUGUUUCUUUGUGGAAAAUAAGUGGGAGAGAUGAUUGUAAUGGGGAAGUAGUGGCUAGUUGGUAAAGUGCAUAGUGGUUAUAUGUAAUGAAAUAUGUACGGGUUGAAUUAUACAUCUAUUUGUUGAUUCAACAAACGAAUCAAAUAUUAUAACUCAACAUGUCAAAAUGUAACAUAAUUUCAUAUGUACAAAAUCAAAUUUGUAGAUUUGGAAUUUUGUUAAUUCAAAGGAGCAAAGUUGGAUCAUAUUAAAUGAUGAUUCCUUAUUUGAUUCGAGCAAACACUAAAAAAGUAAAAGUCAUAGCAUGUUAAUUGAAUUAAUCUAUUUUUAUCACAAUUAAUUUUGAUUCAAUUUAUUCAUUUAACGCCGCUAAUUAAUUUAUAUAUUCUAAUUAACUUAGAUUUGAGACUUGGUGCAUUGAUUGACUAACAUGAUGUCUUAAAGUACCAAUAUUACAUAAAAAUGGAAUCAUUAAGUAAUAUCUUGAUGUAAAGAUUACUUAUAUAUCUUCCUUCAUACUUGGGCAUUUUGAUUUUUGAAUGAAAAUCAUAAUAAUGAAUAUUUGAUAGUUUAUAAGGACUGAUCAAACUAAAAGUAACAUAUUAUUCAAUUUUCUUUGUUGUGACACUAUAAAUGUAACUUAUUAACUUUUGUUCAAUAAUUUAUAAACUUUUAAAAAAAUAUAAAUUGUACAAGAUAAGUCUAAUUGAACGAACUCAAUUAAGAAGACAUUAACAGGAGAAAUCAAUUUGUGACCUCUAUUUUGGAAUACCAAAUGGUGGUGCACCAACACAAUCACACUUACACUUAACAUAAACAUAAUUAACAAGCAACUCAAACAAUAAUAUCCUUUUACUUGUCUAUAGCCAAGUUUCUUAUACCAUAUUAUGAUACUAACUACAUAUAACUUGAUAAAUAAGACAGAGUACAUGAGAGAAUACACAGAAUUCCACUAGGUCUGACAUAAUAUUUCUAACAUCAUAUGAGUGGUUGAGAUGUAACUCAUACACCACGUACAAUUCUGAAACUAAAAAGAUCAUAAAAGCAAUAAAAGUAUGCAUGACUUUUCCCUCGAACCAUGAGGACUCACCAAUCUAAGUGGUCAAUAGCGGAGCAAGCCACCUAAGUACGCCUGAAUGGAGGAGCGUCGAAUACUAUAUUAUGAGACAAGAUAGGUACAAAUAUGUAUUAGUAUUAUGAAUGCACUAAGUAUGGGAAAUAAACAUAAACAUGAUAUCAUAAUGAGUUAGAAACGUGAAUUUACAAGACCAAGUAAAUACAUAAGGAAGUUUAAAUGUCAAAUCAAAAAGUGUAUACAAGGUCAAUGCAUCUUCAAAUCAUAAAGAAAGAUUUCAUAAAACCUUUGAAGAAAAUAUAAGUCAUUUGUGGGAUAUUUACCGUGAACCAACAAUAAGACCACGUGAGCUAUAACAUGGAAUCUGGUGUAAUCAUCACACUUAGGGGUGUGCAUCAUUUGUAUUAAACUGAAAAUCAAACCAAAUCAGACUGAACUCUUAUAUGGAUUGUUUUUUUUUGUUUGGUUUUGGAUUAAUAAUUUACUUUGUUUGGUUUUUUGGUUUGGUUUAAAAUGUUAAAAAUAUAAACCAAAAAAUCAAUGAGAGUCUACUUGCCAAUGUAGAACUCCAUAUCAUUCAUUAUUGCUAAGGUGGAUACACUAGGUAGGUCAUUUAAGACAAUCCUAUGGGUGCAUGUAGUUAGGGACUAGGAGAUUGCUUCAUGAGACUCGACCUCUACUAAUGGGAGAACCUCCAUCUCAAAAUCCUUUCGAUGCUAAUAUAUAAUCCCAACGAAAAAGGCAUCAUCAUAAUUAUCAUGAAAAUACUUGGAAAGUCAACGAUUAAGACUACCAAUUCAAUUUUAAGUCAUAUUAGAGUAUCUCCUUUCAAUAACAUGAUUUCGUAAGCUUGUUCAUAUAUAAGACACUUCCUUUCUAAGCAGCUAAAUAUGAUUUCUUUCAUAUGUGAGAAAAACUUUCACAAAUCAUUGACACUUUAUCUUAAAAGUAUCCUUUAGUCAUAAAUCAUUACUUUCAUAAAACAUGCAUAAAUUCAUAAUCAUAAUCCAUAAGUUCAUAAACAUAAUUCAUAUCCAUAAAAUAGGCAUAGACAUGUGUUCAUGUGAAAUCAAUAAAAAAUAUGUAAUUGUAUCAAAUUAUGCAUAAUAAGAUUGAAUAUAAGCAAUUGAAUAACAAUAAAUUAAACCCAUAGAGAAUCACAUGAAACCCUAAGAGAAUUAGGUGAAAUUGAAUUGGAGAUUUGAGUUUCAUCUUGGAACCCAGUGGAUGAAAGGGAUUCGUUGAUGAAUUCCCAUAUACCUUAGCAAUCAUAGCUCAUGAAGCCCUUGAAACCCUAGUUCUUUACCUUGGAGCUCUCGAGAGAAUUUGGAGAAGAAACUCUUGAGAGAUAUUGUGAGUUUGAGUGAAUGUGAGGAAAUGAGUAUUGUUUUGAAGAGUAAAAGAAGUUAUAAAGGUAUUUAUAGGGCCAAAACGACGUAUUUUAGGAGUUAAUUUUAGGUAGAAAAAGACCAAAACACCCUGAAUUAAAAACUGUCAGAAGACCUUACGACUUCGACAUACAUACCAUACUAGUCAGUCGUAGAACACUUACUAGGACUCAACAUUUUUGAUCGAUUUUUGUGAGAUCUUCCUACGACCCGUCAAAUGUUCUACAGCUUGUAAACCCGAUCCGUAGAACCUAUGUUUCCCAAAAAUUCUCCAAGUCCAAAAACACUUCUAAUGAUUUGCCUUCUACAAACCGUGGGAGUUCAUACGACCUACCCUAUUCAUCCGUAAGUCAUCAUUAGAGACUUGGCGUUUAUCAAAAUUUAACUUAAGUUCCAUGAAAAGCUUUCUAUGAGUAGUAGAGGUUCCUACGAACCGUAGAUAGGUUAUGUGGAAACUGCACUAAUGCACUUUUCUGAGACUUUUCUUUUCCAAUUUAACUUUCCAAUUACUGAGGUGUUACAAUAAAGUUUUCUUUCCACUCAUGUUUUACACAUUUUCAACAUCAUGCCUCCUAGAAGAGCCUAUCUUAGAAGGAAUAUGAAUGAGGAGAAACAAGCACAUAUAACUCCAACAGAUCCUUUAGGUGAACAUGUUACUCAUGUUGAGUUUAAGGCUACUUUCCCAGUGAUAGCCCAAUCUAUGACUGCUCAGCCAACCGAGAAGUUACGGCCCCUAUUAACCUGGAUGUUGGUACGACUGUAACUAGAGUUCAGGACUUCACUCGAAUGAACCCUCCAGAGUUCCAUGGGUUUAUGGCGGACAAGGAUCCACAAGAGUUUAUUGAGGGUAUUUAGAAGAUUAUUGGGAUUAUGAGAAUCACUCCAAUCGAGAGUGCAAAUUUGGUUGUGUAUCAUUUGAAUGGAGUGACUAAGAUUUGGUAUAAAUUAUUAAGGAGGAAAAGUUGUCGAUGCAGGUCCAUUGGAUUGGGAAAAUUCAAGGGUGCUCUUUCCACCUGAGUAGAGAGAGAGACUAAGGUUAAAGAGUUCAUAAAUCUAAGGCAGGGUAACAUGACAGUGAAUGAGUAUUCUUUGAAGUUUACUCGAUUCUCCAAGUAUGUUCCGACUACGGUGGCCGACUCUAGGGCCCGUAUGAGUAAGUUCGUCUCUAGUGUUUCUAAGAUGAUCAUGAAGGAUUGUAGAACUGCGAUGUUUAUUAAGGAGAUUGAUAUCUCUAGGUUGAUGACACAUGGUUGAUUAACGUUUCAAAGACACUUCAUCCAGUUCUAAGCGUCAACGGUCGUUAAUCAGUAUAUAACCCAACUAAAUGAGUUGGGGUCGAAUUCCACAAAGAGCGGUACGCGUUUGAGAUUCAGUAGUAAAGUGUGAACAUGUUCAAAUCAGCCAUAUGAAUAGAAAAUAUAUAAUAAAAACAUCAUUCAAAUCAGGGAGUGACACGAAUGUCAAAUGGGGGGUUUGGUUUGAAAUUAUCAACUACAAACAACAAUAAACAAUACGAAUUAACAAUAGUGAGACGGGUUCUUGGGAUGUGAUUCGAUUAUAGGCUAAUAUAGACAAAUAAGUAAUUGCAACUAUUAAAAAAUAACUAGAUAUUAGUGAGUAAGCUAGACUAUAGAGGAGGUAAACUUUCUCUCGAACAAUUUACCCCAAAUCAAGUUGAUUUCUCUUAAACAUCAACAAUCAUGCAAAAUAAGAACAACCCACACCUUAGUUCAUUCACUCUCUCGAGCUGAAUAUGUGAAAAAGGGUUUAGGAUUCACUCUCUCGAGCUGAACCCAUGCCAACCCAAUACCCACAGAGCAUCAAUCAAACACCUUAGUUCUAAAAUCUCUCUCUCGAGCAAGCCAAGAACACAAAGGUAGAACUGUAUUUGCAACUAAAAUUCUUAAAUUAAACCACAAUAAAUGAUAUAACUCACUUCUAAAUAGCAUUUAAACUAACAAUUAGANNNNNNNNNNNNNNNNNNNNNNNNNNNNNNNNNNNNNNNNNNNNNNNNNNNNNNNNNNNNNNNNNNNNNNNNNNNNNNUUUUGAGGUUCUUGAAUAUGUAGGGCCAGUGGCUUGUAGAUUGGCUUUACCUCCUAAUCUAUCAGGUGUUCAUCCGGUAUUUCAAUUGUCCAUGUUGAAGAAUCUCAAAGACCCACUUCCAAUUUCUCAAAAGUGAAAAACUUCAAUUCUUCAAAGCUUAGGAAAACUAGAGAAAACUUGUCUUACAGUUCAAAACUCAAAAAUAUGUUAGUAUAUUAUGAUAUCAGAUGCUAAACUAAAUGUUCAAAAAUGUAUUUAUAGUCGCCAAAAAUGUGUUGCAAAGAGUCACUCGACGAAGUAAGUCGGGCUCGCCGAAUCAUUCGGCGAUCCACCCUUUGGUCAUUUCCAUCGCCCUUCUGCCUUGGCAUUCAACAACCUCAAGGUCUGUAACUUUGGGCGAUCUAACUCUGCAUCGCGGAACCACUCGACGAUCCGCCGACUGCUCCUUUCUCUCGUUGGUUCUUUCCUUCAGGGGUUGGUGCACUGGAACUUUAGGCGGUCAAGUAGCCAUUCGGCGACUCGCCAAGUGGACUUGGCGAUCACCAGGCUUGCAUUUCUUCAUUCUUUCAGCUCGCUUCAUUUCUUUUUGUAAAUUAGUGUCCUUGCUUUGUUCGUUAAUCCAUAUACCUGGAAAUCAAGGGUUUUACAUAAGUUAUUGGCACAAAAUAAGCAUUUGAGGACACUAAACCUAUAUAAAUAAAGCCCUAAAUGAGUCCAAAUCUCAGACUCAUCAAUGGUCAAUGGAUUAAGGAGAAAAAGUUUAAGGAGAGUGCUAGGGAGACUAAGAGGGCUUGGAAAGAUAGUGUGCACUACUCUCAUGAGAAAUUAGAAGGUGGGUAGUCGAUCUUAGUUUUGUCAGAAAUAUUCAGGCCUGGCCCCAUCUUUUGCUAGUACUCUAGUGCUAAAUUUAACAAGGAUAGGGCGCUAGGCUAUAAGUCAUAGGGCAACAUGUCUAGUGGACAUUCUUUCCCCUCGUGUGACAAAUGUGUGAUAAGAACCAUCCAAGAGAGUGUAUGACCGGUACUGGUAGGUGCUUUGGAUUUGAUAAGACUGGUCAUCGAUUGAGGGAUUGCCCAUUGGACACAAACAAGGGCAAACAUGUUUGUCACCAGGCUCACCUUAUGCUUCAGCAUGUCACAUGAUUCAUCAGGGUACCUCAUCUAGGACUAGUGGCUGACAACUUCAAAACAAGUUUUAUUCUUUUCAUACUCAAUAGGAUUCCCCUGAUGUAGUCACUAGUAUGCCUCGAGUCUUUCAGUUUGAUGUUUAUGCCUUGUUAGAUCCAUAAGCCACACUUUCUUUCGUAACUCCUUAGAUUACUAUGAAAUUUGAUGUCAGUUUUGAAUUAUUAUCAGAACCCUUCUCACUCUCUACUCUUGUUGGUGAGUCAAUUUUAGCUAAAUGGGUAUAUGAGAUUGGGUACCAAGUCAAUAAGGUAUGUAGACACCUAGAGACCACUAUAGGUCAUAACUGUAUUAGAAAACAUAAAACUCUUAGCAUAUAUGUACGUAUGAGAGUGAGACUUAUGAUUUCUAGAGGUAUGUUAUAGAUUGGUGAGGUGGUUAUGCAUCUGUAAGGCGAGGAUGAAUAUGAAACUCAUUUGACUUGUUGCAUUAGGACAAGUGUGUCGAAGUAUCUUUUUGCAUUAUGAUAAGUAUGUUGAAUUAUCUUAUUGUAUUAUGGAAAGUGUAUUGUAUUGAUUUGUUGCAUUUUAACAAGUAUAUGAUGAUUUAUAUUGAUUAAAUGUCUAGUGGUGUUAAAAGAGUAGUACCCGCUUAACUCUUGCAAUUUGAAUUCCCUUAUAAAUGCUAGGUGUGGUUGAACUAUCUUAUACGUGAUAAGUCUAUGGGUGUGAAUUGUGAAUAUAUUAAAGAAGUGGUGAUGUUGUGAUGAAUGUGCUAUGUGUGUUAACUAUGUGCAAAUGUUUGUCUAUAUGUUCUAUGAAUGUGAUUAUAUAUUUGCUACUAAUCUUAGUCGAUCCUAAAACGCUGAUGCUACUUCUGCACUUUAUUUUGAGUGCAAAUUGUGAUCUAGAGGUGUCUACCAUCCUCAUAUUUAGUUGAGUUGCUUCUAGAUCUGAGGAUGAACUACUUCUGUUUGAGGUGUCACAAAUCCUUUUAUUUGUUGAUGUUUUUCUUCUUAGAUCAUUAAGACUCCUUAUUUAUUAGUUAUUACUAUUCUUAGAUUUGUUAGUUAGAUGCUCUAGUACAAUGACUUUCAGAUUCUGGGAUUGUAAUAAUUAGACUUUCGCAUUUAUCUAUUCAUUUAAGAUUUAGACUUUAUCAUGUUGUGCUUUCAAUUUUUGACUAGAUUAGUAGAUGAAUGCAUGAUUUAGGAUAUUAAGUGUUAGUUCACUCAUCGGGGGUUGAUGUGGGUGCUACUUAUGCGAUUUGGAUUGUGACACUUUCACCAUUGCAACCUCCAAAGCCCCAAUAAAUAGGGAUGAACAUAAAUCAUCAAAAACUCAAUUUCAAAUCAAAACAAAAUUUACUAUACCAAAUUUUUAUUGCAAUAGCGGACCAAACUUUAAAAGUUCAGUAUUUAAUAUCUAUUUUUAAUUGUCGAUUACCUAACUAUCGAAAUUGAACUUUAGAAAUACCAAGUCGAUUAUCAAAUGCCCACCCCUAGGUAUCUCUAUUUUAUUAUAUAUAAAUAAUAUAACGAAUAAUUGAGAUGUAUUGAUUGACCUAUGCCGAUAAAUUUACAAUAUUAAAAAUUGAGAGUAAAAUCUAACCUCUAUACAUGGAUGACUAACAUGUUAAAUAUUGGAGAAAUAAUGAACAUACCUUGCUAAAAAUAUAUUUUCCUUCAAUUCAAUAAUUACUUAAUUAUUAUUGUACGAAAAUCUGAUUUAUCGAACUGAACUUUGAAAGCUCAUCGUUGAUAUCUACUUUCAAUUAUCGAAUUAUCAAAUCAAACUUUGAAAAUACCGAAUGCCCACUCCUAAGUAGGGGUGUUCACGGGUCGGUUUGGAUAGGUUAUUGGUAAAAAUCAAAACCAAACCAACUUAAUCGGUUCUAAAAUUAUCAAAACCAAACCAAAUCAAAUAUAAUAUACAUUUAUCGGUUUUGUGGUUAUCGAUUUCGGUUUGGUUCAGUUAUUCGGUUGUUAACCAUACACAAAAAUAAAAGAAACAAUUCAUUCAAAAUGUGAAAAAAGUGACAACAAUCCAUUCAAANNNNNNNNNNNNNNNNNNNNNNNNNNNNNNNNNNNNNNNNNNNNNNNNNNNNNNNNNNNNNNNNNNNNNNNNNNNNNNNNNNNNNNNNNNNNNNNNNNNNNNNNNNNNNNNNNNNNNNNNNNNNNNNNNNNNNNNNNNNNNNNNNNNNNNNNNNNNNNNNNNNNNNNNNNNNNNNNNNNNNAUAAAUGUUUCAUCUUGGGCAUUUUUGCUUUCAAUAAGUAAAUUAUAAAGAAAUUUUAAUGAAAAUAUGUAUAAGAUCUUUAAAAUUGUUUAUAAAAAUAAUAUAUUAAGUAUAUAUAUUAAUAAAAUAUAUGUAUAUAAUUCAUCGAUUCAGUUCGGUUAUUUCUUCGAUUUUUUUCGAAUAAAACCAUAACCAAACCAAAUACUACCGAUUUUCCAAAAUCUAAAACCAAACCAAACCCAAAUAAAAUCGGUUUUAUUUUAUCGAUUUGAUUUAAUUUAAUUUUUCAGUUUGAAUCGAUUUUUAUCCAAACUGUGAACACCCCUGCUCCUAAAAACAAGUGUAUUUAACUUCAAUUUUAAUAAGACAUGUAUGAACUAUAGUAGCAACUCUUAUUGGAGGGAAGAGAGAAAAUAAAAAUAUGGAGCAGUUAAUUUAAUUCCACCACCAUCCCUUUUCCCCUUUUUCUCUCUCUCCUUAGCUUGAAGAAGAAGAGUUAAGAGUUUUGUACUAGCAACCAAGAAGGCAAGAACUGUACAAAGUUAACCGAAUCUUCCUUCUUCCCCCUUCCAUCGCCCCCCUCCCCACCCCCCUUUUUAUACCCACCCUCUUUGCCCGUAUCCCCAAAUUCUCUCACAAAUAUUGAGUCUUUUUUCAUUCUCUCCCUUCCAUGAUACUUCACCAUGUCCAAAAUGAAGCAUUUACUCAGGAAACUUCAUAUCGGCGGUGGUGUGGCCGAUAAUCCUCCUCACCUUGCCCCUCAUCACACCUCUCCUACUCAUCAACCACUUCCUGUACUUGAUCCGAAUCAGCAAACUAACCGGUUUGAACAAUCUGGGUCAACUUCAUCUUUGUCUCCUCAAACGACGCCGGCAUCAGCAGCAUUGCCCAGAGUCCCUGAGAUGAAUUCGGCUUCGGCUUCUGAUUCUGCUGAUUUUAAUUACUUUGAGGAGGAGUUUCAGGUUCAAUUGGCUUUGGCGAUCAGUGUUUCUGACCCAGAUUCUCGUGAAGAUCCGGAAACGGCCCAGAUCAAAGCAGCCCAAGAGAUAAGUUUAGGAUGUUCGCCUUUGGAAAAUCCUGUGGAGUUCCUUUCACUUCGUUAUUGGGUAUAUUCGAAUCCCCCUUCUGAUUAUUUAAUAUUUUGAUUGUUUUUUUCUUAAUUGCUUUUGCAAAUUCUCAAUUUAGGUUUAAUUUCCAUUUUUUUGCUUAUUGAUGCUACAUUGAGGAAUUUACUUGUUCUGAUACUUUACAUGGAAAAAUACUGAAACUCUGCUUCAAAUUAUCCUAAUUUGCCAAUAAAUUAUGUUAAAAUUGGACUGCUUGACCUUUGUUUUUUUGGUUGUAUGGUGGACAACUGACUAGGUAAGGGGAAUAGUGUGAUUGGAAUGAACUCCUAUGUAUGAAAGACUCCCACUAAUACUAUUUGGUUAUACACCUCGGUUAUAUCGAACUGCCACUUGUGCUUCUAUGUGAUUACAGUUUUUAGUUUUAUAUUUAGUUUUAGUUCUUGUGGGAUUUCACUGGUAUGUUGUUAUUGUAUAGGCGUACUUCCAUAUUUAAAUCAUAAGCCUCUUGUACUGGGAUCAAGCUAUAAGCUCAGAUAUUUGAACUUGAGAGUCAAUUAAAUUUGCUUAAAAUUGUAAGUAGGCAUCUAUUCAGUUCAUUGUAAAUUUGUGAGUAUACACAGUCCUCAUCUCCACCUUACUCAUGUUCUUUGUGUUCACUUUGAUGUAUGACGUAAUCAUCAAUCCUAUCGACCCUGGGGAAUACAGCUAGAACAGUUUUAACCUACAUUACAGAAACGACAUCUAAAUUUUGGUUUGUAUACGUGUCUUUGUCUAAAAACUUUUUAAUUCGUUCUAUUUUUCUCUGAUAAUCAUCUACAUAUAAAAUCAUUUUAAUAUUCUUUAUAUGAAUACAAUGAGUACAAGUUCCAACUAUGAACUAUGGGCUCAUACUAAUUGCUAUUAUUCGCUUUCCUCCAACGCCGUUUGGUUAAGCCAGCUGUUUCAAGUGACUCCACUCUCCAAAAGUUAGAUAUCUUUUAAUGUGUCACUCAGUUGGGAUCUUGUUAUGUUUAAGUUUUAGAUUACCUCACUAUAAAUGCUCUAUCUUGUAACCGUCGUCGUGUUAAUUGGACCGCUAUCCUUCCACCUACAUUUGUACUUUAUUGAUCCAUUAAUGAGAACCUCCAUCUGUGCACGACUCUUACUUUUUUUUGGCUGGACUCGGAUACUUAAUUGAUAAAGUAAAAACUUUCCCUUAAAUGUUAAUUAAGCAAUAAAACAACAAGUAUCUAAUUUCUAGCUGCUUCACUAUCACAAGUUGUCUAUUUAACUGUAUUUGGAACUUUUUUUUUGAUAAUCGUGGUGUUCGGGUCAGCUUGCGUGCACUUCGACUAAUUCCACGGGAUACAUGCCACCUUCCACAAGUACCCGCUAGCUCUGUCCAUCAAGGAUACGACAGAGGGAAAUAAAUCAUUUAGUGUUUUUUUUUAAUCUUUGUUGGGAUUUGAACCUGAUACCUCAUGAUUCUCAACUCACCCUAUAGACCACUAGGUCACACCCUUGGGUGCACUAACCCUAUUUGGAACUUAAAGUUGGAUGCAAUAUAUUCCACUUAAAAUGCUUUACAAAUUUGAAGUGAAAACAAUUUGAUUCAUAACUAAAAUUAAAAAUAACCAUUUCUAUCGAUAUAACAUGUCUUUAACAAGUAAUAUGAUAGGUUAUUAAUACAAAAAUAUUGUUUUUUUUUAAACUGGUAACUUUAGUCUAUAUAUCCACAUGUAUAUUACAACAAAAGUGCAGUUCCCCUUCAAAAGUAUUACAACUUACAGUGUAAAACAGUCUUAAUCUAAACUGCUACCUAUAAGCAAUCUAGCACAUCAAAGAUGUCUUCUUCCCUAGUUAAUAUAUCUUGUUUACACCAAAAAUAGAAAAGAGCUAAGCAAUUCAUCUUGUUCUUCUGUAAGCUAUUCUGCCCAUUUUCAAAACUCCCGUUGUUUCUCUCUGUCCAAAUUGUCCACCAAAUACAUGCUGGGACAAGUUUCCAUUUCUUCUCCUUAUCAGAAGCAUUUCCAUCUCUAUUCCAGCUGCUUAGGACUCCUUUAAUGCUCCCUUUGAAAAGAUAUAAUUAUAUAAAAGCUUAUAGGUAUGUCAGAUACUAAGAAUUCAACAUAAUUUACUGUUUUGGUUUCGAGUUUCCUUCUUCUGUACAUAGAAGGAAAAAACUAAGUCAUACAUUCAAAAGUAUUGUUCAGACAAUGCAUCUUAAUGUUUCAGCUGAAUUAUUCAGUUUAAUAAACAUCAACCAUUUCUUAAAAAAAUAAAAUAGAUAUCAACCUUAAGACGUUAGACUUCGAAAUUUUAGUUUUAUCAAAUAGUUCCUCUAUAACAAUUAACAAUAUAAGCUUGGAGGUCAAAUUGAAUUGCAUUCUUCGUCAUAUGUAGUAACAACACAUCAGUGCAGUAACAAAUAGAUGUGUUCUCUCUCUCUUGCUGCACCGUCUUAAUUAGGUGUUAUUAGAUAAUAGAAUUUUUAGUAGGUGUUUGUGUUUUAGCUAUUAGUUGCUUCAUAUGGGUUUGACUUAGUUAUCUUCAGAAAACGAAGUUUUCUACCUUCGUUGUUUUAUCUUGGACUAUUAGGCGAAAUGAAUUUUAUAAUGUAGGUUUAUUUGAUUCAAUCUGAUUGAAACUCAAAUUUCUGAACAUUAAAACAUAUUACCCAACCCUAAGACUUUUUUUUGAGAAGUUACCCAAACAAACAUUGACCUUUUCUUAAAAAAAUAAACAAAUAUCAACUUUCAGAGGUUGGACUUUGAAAUUUUAGUUUUAUCAAAUAGUUCCUUUAUAACAAUUAACAAUAUAAGCUUGGAGGUCAAAUUGAAUUACAUUCUUCUUCAUCUGUAGUAACAACACAUCAGUGCAAUAACAAAAUAGAUGUGUUCUCUUUCUCUGCACUAUCUUAAUUAGGUGUUAUUAAGAUAAUAGAAGUUUUAGUACGUAUCCUUUCUCAAAAAAAAGAAGUUUUAGUAGGUAUGUGUUCUCAAGAAAAGAAGUUUUAGUAGGUAUUUGUGUUUAGCUUUUACUUGUUGCUUCAUGUGGGUUUGACUUAGUUAUCUUAAGAAAAUGGUGUUUUCUACCUUUGUUGUUUUGGCCUUGAUUAUUAGGAGCAACGAAUUUUGUAAUGUAGGUUUAUUUGAUUCAAUUUGAUUGAAACUCAAAUUUCUGAACAUUAAAGCAUAUUACCCAACCCUAAGACUUUUUUUUUUUUUUGAAAAGUUACCCAACCCUAAGACUGGUUUACUUCUCACUAUUUGGGAUCGGUUUAGGCAGUGAUAAUCUGAAAUAAUCUCAAACAUCUUCAAUCAGAUCCUUGGGACCCCAAUUUGUAAUAUCUACAUAGAUGUAAGUGUCAGGUUUGGUGCACGUUGAUGUACUUAAUCUUCCUAUUCACUUAAGUUUACGAUUGAUGGAUAUCGUAAAUGUUGGCGCUUGCAGGUAAAAAUUGUGUCAUUACAUGUGAGCACUAGAAAUUAAAAUAAAAUUUUCUAUGUAUGACCUUUUGCAUAGGAGGUCUUGUCAUUCUAAGAGUUGCUUAGGGGGUACUAUUUUUGAGCUUUCAAAAUUAAUAAAGUAAUUAAUUUAUGGGAUAGUGCUUCUUAUAUAGUUGAUGAACGGUAGGUCUUACUAGUUGCGAUUUACUCUUUCCUCCAAAUCUUUAGGCUAAACUAGCUAUUUCAAGUGACCGCGCUCUACAAAAGUCUGAUAUCUCCCUUUAAUGCAUUAAGCCAUUGGGAUCUCGUUACAUACAUUUAAGGAGAAAAUGGCCAAAUGACCCCCCAAUCUAUUAUCGGAUUUCCAACAACACACCUAUUCUUCGCGGGAGUCAUAUUACCCCCUGAACUACUUUACAAUGGAAUAAAUAACCCCUUAAGUGCUGAGUUGACAUAGAGAGUGUAUUUCACUCUCUUUGUGAGAGUGAGUUGCCUUAUAUUGUUUUUAAUUUCCAUUUUUUUUUCUAAUUUUCUUUUUUCUUUCUCUUUCUUUCUUCUUAUUUAUCUAUACAACUAUACAUUUUUCACCAUUAUCAUUGUUGAAGUUUUUUUCAAUGGAUGUAUGGUAUAAAAAUUAUCAACAAUUAAUGCAUUUUAUGAAUAAAUAAUUUUUCAAUAGACUUAUUUAAAACAUAUCUAACAAGUUAAUUUUUUUUUUAAAAAAAAACAUACCCAUCAAUUAAUUUUUUUAAAGUCAUGGACUCGAGAGUAACAAAAUCAAAGUGAAGUAAUUGUAUAUUUAAAAAGUAUUUUCAAACUUAUUAAAAGGAACUAAAACAAAACAAUUUCUUCUACAUUUUAAAAGAAAAAUCCUACAUGUUCUCCUAAAACCCAUGAAGAAUCAAAAUAGAAAACUCAAAUUAUAAAUUAAUCAUAAAAAUUUUAGAGGGAGAAAGAAUAAAGAAUGGGGAAGAGAGAGAGGUUUCUCAAAUUGGUCUCAAAUUGGUCUUCUCAUCCGCGAUGAUUUUGAGUUGUCGACGGAAUCUUCAGGCGAUGAAUCUGAUCUCGAAUGUUCAUGACCCAUUUAAUAUGUAUCUGAAAUUGUCCAAGGAAAUAAAUCAAACAAAAUGUAAAAAAAUCUGGAAAAAUUGUUGAAUUGAUUGGAUGAAAGAUUUGAUUAGAUACGCUAUCUUCUAAGCUCUAGAGAUUCGGAGUAGAUGAAAAGGUUACUUGAAUUUUUGUUUUUAUAAAUUGUUAGAGAUAUAUAAAUUUAUUGAGGUAAAAAAUGGUGUUUAUUAUAGUUAGGGUUGAAGAAAUGAUUGGGGAAGAAAGGAAGAGGAAGGAAGAGAACCUUUUUUUAAUUUUUUUUUAUUAAAUGGUGAAAUACACGUGUCAAGUGCGUGUAUUUCACCACAAGAUUGGAAGUGAUUUCGGGUCUAUUACAAGGGAAUGGUACCGUACCACCUGAAAUGUGUCAAUAAAGUUCAACCAAGAUAAAAUAAACUACUUAUGCUAGCAGUUUCCAUCUUCUCUUUGUAAUCCAAUUCACUGAAACAUAAAGAAUGUUCUAUAUUUAUAGACCAACAUAAAGCUUCAGGUAGCCAAAAUUCCAAAACUUCAGUACAAGCACCGGCAUUAGUAAAAACAGUCAGUCAGUCAGUCACUUAAAGCGAUGAAUCGAUGUGAAGUGGGAGUUUCACUUCAUGUGGGUGAAGUGAAGCAACUUAGAGGAACGAGUAGUUUAGAUAGUAAGGCACAUAGCCAUUCAAGCUAGAAUCAAUCACUUCUUUGAUUUUGACUUUGAAAGCUACAAUGUCCAAGAUUAUUGCUAUCUUGAAACUAGGUUUCCAGUUUAGGUAAAAAUAUUAUUGAAUUGUGUAUCUAAAUUGUUGCAUUGAGACCCUAUUUAUAGACACUACAUUGGAAUCCUUUUCCAACUAGGAUUCCUAUUCUUAUUCCUAUUCCUAUUCCUAUUCUAAGUAGGAAAUACUUAUUUCUAUUCUAACACUCCCCCUCAAGCUGGUGCAUACAAAUCAUAUGUACCUAGCUUGUUACAGAUGUAAUUAAUACGAGGACUUGUGAGGGACUUGGUGAAGAUAUCUGCAAGCUGAUCAUUUGACUUCACAAAUUUCGUAACAAUAUCUCCCGAGAGUAUCUUUUCUCUGACAAAGUGACAGUCAAUCUCAAUGUGCUUAGUCCUUUCAUGAAACACUGGAUUUGAUGCGAUAUGAAGAGCCGUUUGAUUAUCACACACAAGUUCCAUUUAACCGAUUUCGCCAAAUUUUCGCUCUCCCAACAACUGUUUGAUCCAAACUAGCUCACAAGUUGCUGUCGCCAUUGCUCGAUAUUCUGAUUCUGCACUAGAUCGAGCAACCACACUCUGUUUCUUACUCUUCCACGACACCAAAUUACCUCCUACUAAAACACAAUAUCCGGAUGUCGAACGUCUAUCAGAGGGUGAUCCUGCCCCAUCAGCGUCUGUAUAUCCAGUGAUAUGCUCAUGGCCUUGAUCCUCAAAAAGUAGUCCUUUACCGAGAGCUGACUUUAUAUAUCGUAGAAUAUGAACAAUUACUUCCCAAUGACUAUCACAAGGGGAAGUCAUAAACUGACUUACAACACUCACAGGAAAAGAGAUGUCAGGUCUAGUCACUGUGAGAUAGUCUAACUUUCCAACCAGCCGUCUAUACCUUUCAGGAUUACUAAGUGGCUCCCCCUGUCCUGAAAGGAGUUUAACAUUCAGAUCCAUAGGAGUGUCAAUGGGUCUACAUCCCAUCAUUCCUGUCUCCUCAAGAAUGUAUAAGGCAUACUUGCGUUGAGAAAUAACAAUACCUGAUCUAGACUGAGCAACCUCAAUACCUAGAAAAUACUUCAGUCUGCCAAGGUCUUUAGUCUGAAAAUGCUUAAAGAGAUGUUACUUCAAAUUUGUGAUAUCAUCUUGAUCAUUGCCAGUGAUAACAAUAUCAUCAACAUAAACAACCAAAUAAAUACACUGAUUUGGUGCAGAAUGCCGAUAAAACACAGAGUGAUCAGCUCCACUACGAGUCAUGCCGAACUCCUGAAUUACUUUGCUAAACUUUCCAAACCAGGCUCGAGGAGAUUGUUUUAGACCAUAGAGUGACGUAGACAUAUUGGAUUCUUGUUUCUUUAAGUUGGUUAUUCUAGAUAUCACAUCAUAGAAUCGAGAUAUAUCAUUAGUAUAUAAAGUACGUGCCUUUUCCCUAACUAAAUAACAUGUCUGGGAUGGGCGAAACAAGGGCAUUAACUUGGAAUCAAUAGAUCCUAUGCCAUAGGAGACUACAUAAUUGAGCAUCAACCUUCUCCCAUUGUGCUUUGGCUUUAUCAUCUGCCUCACUAGCCUUUGCCUUUUCAUCUACCACACAAGCAUUGUAGGUCAAGUGAUCUUGGACGCCUUGACCCUUGCACCACAACUCAAUUGAAGAAGCCCAAGCUAAAUAGUUUGAGCUUCCCAUUAAUGGUUCUGAAGUGAUCAUAGCACUGGAACUUCCUAUAUUUUUGGAGCCAAAAAUAUCAAUCCCGAACGACAUAUUGUGAUAUUAGAAUAUUCUCACAAAAAAAUAAAAUAAUAAUAAUUAGAUCUGACUGCUGGAAAUAAAAUAAAAAUUUGGGGCCAGAAUCUGACUGCUGGAAAUAAAAUAGAAAUUUUGGGUCAGAAUCUGACUGCUGAAAAGAUCUGACUGCCGGAAAAAAAUAAAUCUAGCCGCCAAAAACUGGUCGGAAUCAGGAAAAAAAAUUAUAUGGUCAGCCUUGGAAUCAAGAGGCAACCCCACUGGGAAAAAAAACUGCUGGAAAAAAAAAAAUCGCCAGAAUAAUUGCUGAUAUUUUUUUUUCUGGGACAACAAUUUAGGUCACCGGAAAAUUGCACAGUGACGACUGAUUGAAUUUUCUCACCAUUGCUCUGAUACCAUGUGAUAAAUAUAUUAUUGAAUUGUGUAUCUAUAUUAUUACAUUGAGACCUAUUUAUAGACACUACAUUGGAAUCCUUUUCCAACUAGGAUUCCUAUUCUUAUUCCUAUUCCUAUUCUAGUUAGGAUUGUAUACAAGUAUUUCUAUUCUAACAGGAAACACUAUUGUGCUAGAUAUAGGGGCACAUAGAAGAUAAUGGGUCAUAAACUGCACUUAAAAGAAAAGUGCAGGAGUAGAAUCAAUACAAACAUUAUGUACUAGUAGGCAUCAUAGGCCGACUCGGGUUAGUAACAAGUAUAUACUAAUAAACCAACAAAAUGAGUGGACAUGUACAACAACACUUGAUCAAUAACUCAGUAAUUCAAGUAGUCAACACUGUAAAUAACCUCAUUCCCAACAUAUCAAUGUCAAACAAUCACUGGACAUAUAAGUCACCAAAAUACAUAUAAUAGUUAUCACAAAACUCUGCAAAUAUAAAGUAGUCACACACAAUCAUGGAAUUAUAUCCAAACUAAUCCACAUCUGUUCAGCCUCUGUAUCUCAUCAGUCUCACGCAGUGCCAUAUACAACACUCACAAUUGUCACUCAUCUGUACACACAUGAUAAGGGACUUUAAUCUUGCCCAACUGUCCAUGACCUGUAGGGGACCUUAGGUGUCCAUGUACCGUACAUGCAUAGUACCCAAUCCAUCAUACAACUGCUUGUGCGUAAGCUCAUAUUGAACUCGAGCCACUCAUAUAUAUUCUUUAAACCUAAAGAUAUCUCACUAUGUUCUUUGCUCAAUUAUCUCUCAAGAUAACGACAAGUACAAAAUGAAUAUCACAAGUGCAUCACAAUGUCAUUUAAAGAUAUGCUUCAACAAUUUAACAACUUAUUCAUACAAGCAUUGUCAAACCAACAAAUAUCAACCAAAGACUGUAUGAAGACCAAUCAAACAUGCUUUAUCGACUCACAACGCAUACAAGCGACUAAUCAAAGUCUAAUUGCAAAUAAACCAUAACCUACCUCAACUGAAGAACCUGAACAAGCAAGUUAUUUCAUGUGAGCCUUCCCUUUCCUUAAUGCCUCAGAAUGCUCAAAUUUAAAACAAGCAAAUACAAGAAUAUUCAAUCAUCUAUUCUUCUAACAAUAGCUUUGGAAAUUCAAACCUACUUAAUUCUACUCUUUCUCAAGGUUUAACACGUUACCCAUGGGUUAAUUCAUCAUACACUAGUUUUCCAAUGAUCAUAUUAGCCUAUUUCAUGGAGUUUCUACUCUAUUAACCCCUUUAGAGUGGUUUUCAUGCUAAGGAUCCUUGUCUAUUGGACUCUAGGUCCCUACAACAUCAUAAACACAUAUUAGAGCAUCAAUUCCAUCCUAAGAAGUGUUAAUUAACAACUUAG